UCACGGAGAAAAGUGUCGGGUCUGGAAAUCUCUCGGCUUAAGGCCCGCUCGGUUCUAGGAAGGGAAGUCACGUUUUCUGAGACAGCGAGUCCGAGCGGAGGUUUCCGAGGUGCUGCCUUGGUUGUGGGAGAAAGAGCUCUCCCGUUUGUCAGUGGUGCUGGUUUCUCUGGACCACGGUGUCCUUCUCAGCAGACGCUCGGCUCGAGGAGGGAGACGCAAGGUGGUAAGGUUUCUGGCUGCCUCUCGUGUGUUUCUCUCUUGUUGCUCUCUCGUAUUGGCCAAUACGUUCUGUCUGUCUGUUUCUAUCUGUGUCUCUGUCCUUGCUCUGCUUCUUCCGUGUCCUUCUACGGGACACUUGCAGGCAUUCCAGGUGAGCAUCUCCACGGGUUAAGGGCUCCGGAGCCAACGGGAAUCAUGCAGGUACGCAAGGUAGAGCAAGGGAAAGUGGUGGUGCAUCAGGGGUGACUGACUCAGUGUUCUUGUAGCGGUCCCGAUAGAGAGGGGAGGGAGGGGCAAGGUCUAAAGGAUAGAAGUCCCGCAGCCAGAGACCUUAGUGAGUGAGAGCUCACGCUGGGGUUUUUCUUCCGCGCUUGCAGACGAAUCGGCGCGGGGCCGUGUCCGGAGAAGAGACCGUCCGAGAUGGACUGGAGCUGCCUGGACGUGAUUUUUGGGACACAGGAGGGGUUCUCAGCGUUCGGCCUUCCCAUGGCUCUGCGUGAGUAGGAGAUGGGUGCUUUGAAAUCUUCAAGCGUCCUGGCAGUAGGUUUCUUCUGAGGCAGAGAGCUUCCUGCUGGGGCACGGAGCCUGGUGGCUUGGGGACUGGGGAAGGGGCAGUAGUCGGUUCAACAGAGCGUGGAUAGAGAUUCAAGGCCUCCUUUCUCUCCGUGUUUCUACAGUUGCAGCGGGAGGGGGUGGCUGCGGUGGGUUAUAGGGGAGGAAAAGCGAUGCCGCGUCCUUGCGGACUGAAGGGCUAAGUUUGUUUUUUCCCUCUUUGCUGGGUUCGGUAGCAAGCGAUAAGAAGUCAGUCGUCCCGGUGUCCUCCCGUCUGGGGAUGGAACGAAAAGGAGAACAGCGAGCUCGGGAGCUUGGUCGAAGCGAGGCGAGAACCGUCCGGCUGGGAGAGGAGCAGCCAUCGCUGUCACGGAGAUAAGUGUCGGGUCUGGAAAUCUCUCGGCUUACGGCCCGCUCGGUUCUAGGAAGGGAAGUCACGUUUUCUGAGACAGCGAGUCCGAGCGCAGGUUUCCGAGGUGCUGCCUUGGUUGUGGGAGAAAGAGCUCUCCCGUUUGUCAGUGGUGCUGGUUUCUCUGGACCACAGUGUCCUUCUCAGCAGACGCUCGGCUCGAGGAGGGAGACGCAAGGUGACGAAUCGGCGCGGGGCCGUGUCCGGAGAAGAGACCGUACGAGAUGGACUGGGGCUGCCUGGACGUGAUUUUUGGGACACAGGAGGGGUUCUCAGCGUUCGGCCUUCCCAUGGCUCUGCGUGAGUAGGAGAUGGGUGCUUUGAAAUCUUCAAGCGUCCUGGCAGUAGGUUUCUUCUGAGGCAGAGAGCUUCCUGCUGGGGCACGGAGCCUGGUGGCUUGGGGACUGGGGAAGGGGCAGUAGUCGGUUCAACAGAGCGUGGAUAGAGAUUCAAGGCCUCCUUUCUCUCCGUGUUUCUACAGUUGCAGCGGGAGGGGGUGGCUGCGGUGGGUUAUCGGGGAGGAAAAGCGAUGCCGCGGACUGAAGGGCUAAGUUUGUUUUUUCCCUCUUUGCUGGGUUCGGUAGCAAGCGAUAAGAAGUCAGUCGUCCCGGUGUCCUCCCGUCUGGGGAUGGAACGAAAAGGAGAACAGCGAGCUCGGGAGCUUGGUCGAAGCGAGGCGAGAACCGUCCGGCUGGGAGAGGAGCAGCCAUCGCUGUCACGGAGAUAAGUGUCGGGUCUGGAAAUCUCUCGGCUUACGGCCCGCUCGGUUCUAGGAAGGGAAGUCACGUUUUCUGAGACAGCGAGUCCGAGCGCAGGUUUCCGAGGUGCUGCCUUGGUUGUGGGAGAAAGAGCUCUCCCGUUUGUCAGUGGUGCUGGUUUCUCUGGACCACGGUGUCCUUCUCAGCAGACGCUCGGCUCGAGGAGGGAGACGCAAGGUGGUAAGGUUUCUGGCUGCCUCUCGUGUGUUUCUCUCUUGUUGCUCUCCCGUAUUGGCCAAUACGUUCUGUCUGUCUGUUUCUGUCUGUGUCUCUGUCCUUGCUCUGCUUCUUCCGUGUCCUUCUACGGGACACUUGCAGGCAUUCCAGGUGAGCAUCUCCACGGGUUAAGGGCUCCGGAGCCAACGGGAAUCAUGCAGGUACGCAAGGUAGAGCAAGGGAAAGUGGUGGUGCAUCAGGGGUGACUGACUCAGUGUUCUUGUAGCGGUCCCGAUAGAGAGGGGAGGGAGGGGCAAGGUCUAAAGGAUAGAAGUCCCGCAGCCAGAGACCUUAGUGAGUGAGAGCUCACGCUGGGGUUUUUCUUCCGCGCUUGCAGACGAAUCGGCGCGGGGCCGUGUCCGGAGAAGAGACCGUACGAGAUGGACUGGGGCUGCCUGGACGUGAUUUUUGGGACACAGGAGGGGUUCUCAGCGUUCGGCCUUCCCAUGGCUCUGCGUGAGUAGGAGAUGGGUGCUUUGAAAUCUUCAAGCGUCCUGGCAGUAGGUUUCUUCUGAGGCAGAGAGCUUCCUGCUGGGGCACGGAGCCUGGUGGCUUGGGGACUGGGGAAGGGGCAGUAGUCGGUUCAACAGAGCGUGGAUAGAGAUUCAAGGCCUCCUUUCUCUCCGUGUUUCUACAGUUGCAGCGGGAGGGGGUGGCUGCGGUGGGUUAUAGGGGAGGAAAAGCGAUGCCGCGUCCUUGCGGACUGAAGGGCUAAGUUUGUUUUUUCCCUCUUUGCUGGGUUCGGUAGCAAGCGAUAAGAAGUCAGUCGUCCCGGUGUCCUCCCGUCUGGGGAUGGAACGAAAAGGAGAACAGCGAGCUCGGGAGCUUGGUCGAAGCGAGGCGAGAACCGUCCGGCUGGGAGAGGAGCAGCCAUCGCUGUCACGGAGAUAAGUGUCGGGUCUGGAAAUCUCUCGGCUUACGGCCCGCUCGGUUCUAGGAAGGGAAGUCACGUUUUCGGAGACAGCGAGUCCGAGCGGAGGUUUCCGAGGUGCUGCCUUGGUUGUGGGAGAAAGAGCUCUCCCGUUUGUCAGUGGUGCUGGUUUCUCUGGACCACGGUGUCCUUCUCAGCAGACGCUCGGCUCGAGGAGGGAGACGCAAGGUGGUAAGGUUGCUGGCUGCCUCUCGUGUGUUUCUCUCUUGUUGCUCUCUCGUAUUGGCCAAUACGUUCUGUCUGUCUGUUUCUGUCUGUGUCUCUGUCCUUGCUCUGCUUCUUCCGUGUCCUUCUACGGGACACUUGCAGGCAUUCCAGGUGAGCAUCUCCACGGGUUAAGGGCUCCGGAGCCAACGGGAAUCAUGCAGGUACGCAAGGUAGAGCAAGGGAAAGUGGUGGUGCAUCAGGGGUGACUGACUCAGUGUUCUUGUAGCGGUCCCGAUAGAGAGGGGAGGGAGGGGCAAGGUCUAAAGGAUAGAAGUCCCGCAGCCAGAGACCUUAGUGAGUGAGAGCUCACGCUGGGGUUUUUCUUCCGCGCUUGCAGACGAAUCGGCGCGGGGCCGUGUCCGGAGAAGAGACCGUACGAGAUGGACUGGGGCUGCCUGGACGUGAUUUUUGGGACACAGGAGGGGUUCUCAGCGUUCGGCCUUCCCAUGGCUCUGCCAAGCGAUAAGAAGUCAGUCGUCCCGGUGUCCUCCCGUCUGGGGAUGGAACGAAAAGGAGAACAGCGAGCUCGGGAGCUUGGUCGAAGCGAGGCGAGAACCGUCCGGCUGGGAG